UGAAUUCCUGUAAUCCCAAUUGUUGAUCUCCUUAGAUCUUGCCGAUUUCUAAUUGACCCGAUCAUCUCAAAUGCCUUUAAUUUAGGAACCUGGUUGUAUUUCCAAAUGAAUUCCGUAACUUACUUUUUUCUCUGUUCUUCAAUAUCAAUUAUUCAUACUCAAUCUCCAUCCCCAAUUUCAGUUGGAUCGUCACUUUUUCUUCAACCUCUCCUUAAAUCGGAGAUGUUAUCUGUAUAUCAUUCCCUUUCCACCAUUAUUUUAAUUAUCAAGCUUACAUUGUCUUACAUAAAGUCUCGAUUCAGAUGGAUCCAUUGAAAAUUAGUUAAAUCGAUCGGAGGUUGUGUGAAGGUCGGAGCUCUCAUAGAUACAUACACACUUAAGACGAAAUAGGUUUUGAGCAUAUUCAUGAUUGAUGUGAAUUUACCCAUUCUUGAUUUUUAUGUUUCCUUUGUUUUAGAUUAAAUCGUAAUAUAAGAUUAAGGGAUAUAGUUAUUUUAGAUCGGAGAACUUCAAGAUGUACCGAGAAUUAACCUGAAAAAAGAAGAUAGAAAUGGAUAAAGAACCAGUACAAAUGAUGGUGCCUCAUGGUGAUUGUCUCUGAAAGGAUUUCACUGAUGGUGGAACUGGUGAACUUCACAAAGUUAUGUUGUAAUCUGUAUUUUUUUCCCUUCCAUUUUUUUAGAAAAUAUCACAAAGUUACUGAUGAGGUGCUCAUAAAGUACAUGGUAUUUUCCAGAUUCAGGACAAUUCCUUUCCUUUUACAAUCAACCACACCUUGGAAUUUAGUUUUCUUUCAAAAUCUCAUCUAUGGUUUCUUUUAGGUUUAAAAAACAGUUUUCAUAACUACAUGAAGAUCAACAAAAAAGGAAUGAAAGAAGUUUGAAUAAGGGCAAUCGAAUUCUAUCAGCAAUAGCCUUUUUUGAGUUGUCUGGAAAGCUUGCAGGCGACACCAAUCGAGUUAAGGGUAGGUGUGACACUGUUGUUUACUGAGCCAUCAGAUGCAAGGAAACCAAAAAUAAGAUGGAGGAUGUUUUUAAGGGUAGUGAAGUACUUAAUGUGUUUACAACUUAUUCCGGCAAGCAUGCAACUACGCAAAUGAAGUCUAAGCUAUUGUUUUGGACAAACGAAAUUGAUGGGUGUUAUAUGGGACUAACUCUGAAAGCUUUAUCCAGAUGAUCAUCUUCUCCCUUGAUGUUGCCUGACCAAUAUUAACAUUUGAAAUCUAUUUGUUAUAUGGGUCUAUUUUUGUGAAAAUUGGAUCUAUGUUUUUUACAUUUUUAACUCAUCCAAAUGACAAAAAAGAACAAAAAUGGUCAAAUUUACCAACAA